rnacentral:rRNA from 1 species
GACGUAGGGCGCGAGCGUUGUCCGGAUUUAUUGGGCGUAAAGAGCUCGUAGGUGGUUUGUCGCGUUGUUCGUGAAAACUCACAGCUCAACUGUGGGCGUGCGGGCGAUACGGGCAGACUUGAGUACUGCAGGGGAGACUGGAAUUCCUGGUGUAGCGGUGAAAUGCGUAGAUAUCGUAAGGAAGACCAGUGGCGAAGGCGGGUCUCUGGACAGUUCCUGACGCUGAGGCACGAAGGUCAGGGGAGCAAACGGG